rnacentral:misc_RNA from 1 species
AUCCCUCAAAUCCCAAUGUUUUGCAAAACUCAUUGCUUGGAUUUGGUCAUGGGCCGACUUUGCUACUUAAUUGUUAGCUGGCCUUAAAGACAUUAGCUUGGACUUUCGAACCUUUUCAGAAGGGUCUCCAUAUGAUGUGAUAAAUUUACGUCGAUGGGCUUAAAGACUCUACUGUUGUUAAUGGUUUUGAAAAUGAAUAGUCUAGCUUUCUAACCCGGCGAAGAGUUCCAUCUCUGACCCAUUUUUCAUUAA